rnacentral:rRNA from 1 species
CCUACGGGAGGCUGCAGUGAGGAAUAUUGGUCAAUGGUCGCAAGUCUGAACCAGCCAUGCCGCGUGAAGGAAGACGGUACAAUGUGUCGUAAACCUCUUUUGUACGGGGGCAAACACUGAGACGCGUCCCCGUCUGAAUGUAUCUUACGAAUAAGCAUCGGCUAACUCCGUGCCAGCAGCCGCGGUAAUACGGAGGAUGCAAGCGUUAUCCGGAUUUAUUGGGUUUAAAGGGUGCGGAGGCGGUCGGUUAAGUUAGAGGUGAAAGCCCGGGGCUCAACUCCGGCAUUGCCUUUGAUACUGGUAGGCUAGAGAGUAGGUGCGGUAGGCGGAAUGUAUGGUGUAGUGGUGAAAUGCUUAGAGAUCAUACAGAACACCGAUUGCGAAGGCAGCUUGCC